GCUAAAUGCGUGCCAGCGGCGUGGGUAAUCAGGUGGGGGCUAGCGUUGCUCGGAAUUACUGGGCGUAAAGCACGCGGAGGCGGAUUGUUAAGGCAGGGGUGAAAUCCUGAGGCUCAACCUCGGAAUUGCCCUUGAUACUGGCGAUCUUGAGAACGGAAGAGGGAAGUGGAAUUGCGAGUGUAGAGGUGAAAUUCGUAGAUAUUCGCAGGAACACCAGUGGCGAAGGCGACUUACUGGUCCGGUUCUGACGCUGAGGCGUGAAAGCGUGGGGAGCAAACAGGAUUAGAUACUCUAGUAGUC
rnacentral:rRNA from 1 species